GAUCCAAAAUCUUUUGAAUAGUGUGGCAUGAGUCUUUGUCAAUAUUGUAAUGGGCUAAAUUUGCCCGACCCAUAAAGAACAAAAAACAAGAAUAAAAUAAAACCCAAAACAAAGAUAAACAGUCCGUUUACAAGAAAAUCUAAUCCAGGCACAAGCCCAACAUUACAACGCCCAAUUGGCUCAAAAAUUAAACACUAUCAGCUAAACUAAGAAACCUUAGUGUUCUAGAUACGCCGCUACUUACGCCAGGUCAGCACCUCGUCCCGAGGCUUCUCGUUCCGAGGAUCUGACAUCCCUCUGCCGUCGUUUCACCAAAACAGUAAGAAGGUCACCUGCUCCCUCCGUUGACCUCCCCAGCGCCUGCAAACAAACGAAAAGAGGAAAGCAAAGACAAAGCACAAUAGCGUGCACAGCAACAAAGAAAUGACACGGAAACAGUAGCAAACAGAAAACAAAUAGUAGUAAUAUAUUUUGUAAUCGGCUAUAAAAAGCCCCAACAUUACCAAUGUUUUACACAGAGAAAAAAAUACAAAAAAUCAAUAAAAAACAAAAGAUUUCUAAAGGUGAUAAAUUUUUAUUUUUGCUCUUAAGUUUUUGCUGUUAUAUUUUCUUUUAUUUAUUUAUUUUUAUUUUUAUUUUUACUUUUCUUAUUUCCAAAAAAAAUAUAUAAAAAUAAUAAAAAGAAAGGAUUCUCACCUCCGUCGGUCUCCUUGGCGCCGGAAAGUCCCUCUCAAGCAACGUCUGCCACUGGCCCACGACGGCGGUGCGACAGACACUAGGGAAGCCCCAUCGUCGGACAUGAGAGUGAAGGGAGGGAGUUGAGAGGAUUUCAUCUUUUUUUACAAAGAAUGCUGAAAUAUAAAAAAAAAUCAAAAUUUGGCUUAAAUAAGCUGAGUAAAACGAUGGCGUUUUACUCCCCUCCCCACACGUAUCAAAACGGCGUCGUUUGGGGAAGGAACCCGCAACCUGAUCCGUGCCUGCAGAGGAUCGGCGCGUUUUUUACCUAACAGUCUAUUUGCGCAUUGGAUCCCUCCGCUUCUGUAGCGUGCUUCAAUGGGGUCCCAUAUUACCUUUUUUUAUUUUGAUUUUUGCCCUCAGGAUUUUUACCUUUGUCUUAGUUUGGUCCUCGGACCAUUUGAAGAGACUGGCCUUUAAAAUGCUGCACAUAGAGGGUUAGGAAUAUUGUCCCAAUAAAUCCCUCAUUCUUUGAGCGCAUUGAAUUUUGGUCCUUGGUGGCCCUUUUCUUUUCGUUAUUUAUGAUUUAUACCCCAUAGUUUUAUUUUGAUUUCAAUUCAAUCAUUACCUGUUCCAUUAUAUAUUGUUUUAAAUUAUUUUACAUAUUAUUUGUUUUAAGUUUUUAUAUACAUCAUCUAUUUUAAAUUUUCAUAUAUUAUAUAUUUUGAACUUACAUACAUUAUGUAGUUUAACCUACUGU
rnacentral:lncRNA from 1 species